AAUGAUGAGACAUCUCCUGUAACUCAAGCUGCUUAUCCAAGCAGUUGUGUACUUGUCAUGUCCUGCCUGUAUCUGUAAUAUUCACUUGGUCAGCAAAAUCCUCCUCCUGAAAGAUUUAGGUGAGGGAUUUGAACUGCCAGCAGAUCCAGAAGUGGCACAAACACCACAACCAGCUCCUCUGAGAUAAUUCGACUGCCUUUAUCCCUGACUUAUCCCCGUCUCUUCCUUAUUAUAGCAGUAGCAGUUCAUACCAUCCCACCAUCCUUUGCCUGCAGCUUUGGUCUGUGCUAGCUCUGGGUCGUAGAAAUUCCUACAGGGUUGUAGUUGGCAGAUAUAUCUGCUGAAAGAGAAAUGCCUUAUUUGCAAAUCCCUGUAGGACUGAAAUAUUGAGUUAUUCAGCACUGUCAGUAUAUUUGGGCAGGCCCAGAGGCAGAAGCAUAGACAACUAGAGAGCUUUAUUGAUGGGAUCUCAGGCAUCAUGGGGGUUUAGCCACCUCCAAAGUUAGGCAGUAGCUGAAAAGGGGGCUCUGAGGAUUUGCAUUCUGAAUGAAGAAUCUCUCUGUGGAUUUAGCCUGUGUAGCUGUGCAGGAUGGGAGACAAUGGUGAGCCAGCAUUAUACGAUAUUAAUUAUCUGAGUAAAGUGAAGCAUAAAAUUCCCCACAGUACUCCUCUUCUUCAGUCUGUUUAGAGUUCUUGUUCAAGAGUGGAAGACUGUUUAAUUUUGAAAUGCAUGAGAAAAAGGCCUCAAAGAUGUACUGUGGGUUGCAUUCCUCCCCUGGAACUCAGAGACGUGACUGAUGACAAUGAAUGGGACUUCCCAUUGUGACCUUCUGUCUCUCUGGCUUUGGAUACAAGCAGGGGUAAGGAUGCCAGCAGUGAUGGAAACUGAGCCAGCAGGUCUCACUGCCCACACUGACAGCAGCACCAUAAUAGGCUGAUACUAACAGGGACCAGCGACCCUCUUUCGUACAGAUGAACAGUCUCCAUUUUAAUCCUUAAAGGUUUGAGAAUAAAGACAAAACGUGUCACGCCUGUGACUGGAAGCGUGUAUUUUUCAGAGGGGGUAUCUUUUUUUUUAGCUUUAGGCACAAAGGACAGGGAGGAGGAGAGCACGCUGGCACCAGCACAGUGUACUUGUGUUCAGCAAUAAGCCCACCAGGAUCCUAUGUACUGCAGGAAAAAUAUGGGAUUUGUACAGCUGGCAGUUCACUCCUGUUACGGAGUUUGCCUGUUGCUGGUAGUGGAACAGAGCAGUGGUUGCAGGGAGGAUACUAAGCCGAGCAGUGCAUGUGUAAUGCCAGUACAAACACAUGCGAUCGCACUGUUACUCCAGAGACGUGCGUGCUAUGUAUCUUUGGCAGCAAGCUGUGAAGCUGGAAAGGCAGUUGUGAAUACGUACUGCUACGGGUUUUUUCCACCCACUUGGAUCCUGAGCUGGGAUUUCUCUCCUGCUUUUCAUCUCAUUUCUCAGUGUAAUACCAGGGUCGCACUUUAAUACAGCAAAUAUAAUUAGAGUGCAGUU
rnacentral:lncRNA from 7 species